AGUGUUUGUAAUAAGCUUCAAUAGCACGGCCUUGAUCAGAUGAUCUCUUAAAGCUUUUGCUGCCAUAGUAACCCUUUUGAAUACAGUAAAGAAAUGAAAAAGACGGUCUAUCGUGUCUAUGAGGUGUUGGAAAUCUUUCUCUUGGUCCAGACCUACCACGAUGCCUGAAAUACUCGUUCUCCUGAUAUCUUGGUCUGAAACCCGGUGAUAACGACCUUGGAGGAGGAUUUAGCGGAGGAAAUCUAGGAUCAAAUGGAAAAGGACCUCUUGGUCUAUGUGGAAACCUCGGAGGCCCAAAACCAGACAUUUUUUUAGCAGGAAUUUUACGUUUAUAAUCGUAACUGCGAAUUUCAUGUCCUUUCGUCCGCCAUUUUGAAAAUUGGUAACCUAGCCUUCAGAAUGGACGAGGAAUCAUGGAGACUGGGAUAUGACCACAGGUAGCCCAAGCUAGGUUUGUGUGGUGUCAUAGUAUAAGAAAAUGUAUUGCGAUGCUUAAAAACCUUAAUGAAAUCAUCAAAAUGUGAAAUAAAGUAAAAAAAAACUUAGCUGACCUUCGAAAAGCAGUACCUCUUUCGCCCAGUUACUUAGAUUUUGGAUUAGGGAGAAAACCUUAAAAGGAGCAGUAAUCCAAAAUCUAAGUACACAGGGCGAUAGAAGUACUACUCUGAAACCGUUAUGUGUUUGAAAUUUUGAUUUUUGGAACGUGACGUCCGCCAUCUUUCAGAAACAGGUGAAAACGAAUGACAUCAAGCGAUGCUGGAGUCCCGUUCCUUUAAUGAUUUUACACAGCAUAAAGAAAAAUAAAAAGCUUUGGGGAGAA